ensembl:lncRNA
AUGGAAAUGAGGGAUUUAGGCCCAUUUUGGGGUGAAAUUGAGAGAUCUGGGGAUGGAAAUGGGGGACUGGGCCCAUUUUGGGGUGUAAUUGAAAGAUUGGGGAUAGAAAUGGGGGAUUUGGCCCAUUUUGGGGUGAACCUGGGUUAUUCUGUCCCGUUCUGGGGGCUCCAGGACCCAGCUGGAGGAGUCCAUGAUGGUGCGGCUGAGCGAGAGCCGCCAGCAGAGGGCGCAGCGCCGGCUCCGCGCCAUGGGCGCCGUCAACUUGGACUCCAUCACCCAUUUUGGGGACACCUCCGCCCUCCUGGGACCCCAAGAUCAGGUGGGUGUGGCCCUCAGCCCCGCCCGCUCGCCCUUAGCCCCGCCCCUUUGCUCCCAGUUUUACCUUAUUUGGUCGCAGGAGGCGGCGCCGCCCCCCAAAAAGAAGAAGAAAGUGGUGAAGAGGAAAGGGGGGAAGAGAAAGGGUUUCCGUCGGCGACGCUGAGCUUUGUGGUAAUAAAGGCGUUAAUUGGGUGUCACGCUGCUCGUUAGUGCUUAUUAAGGGGUGGGGGUGGGAGGGUAGGGGCCAAGAUGGCGGCCAACACAUCCAACAUGGCUGCCUCCAUCCACCAUGGCCACCCCCCAUCCAACAUGAUGCCCCCACCUAACAUGGCCGCCCCCACAUGGAGGCCGCCAUCUUUGCUCCCUAAGAUGGCUGCUAGCCCUGAAUAGGGAGUGCCCAAAUGCCCCAAAAACGCCCAAAGUGACCCCAAAACGGCCCCUGGACACCUUUGCCCCCUUUUAACCCUUUAUUUACAACCACUUUAACCCUUUUUCAUCACCAUUUUUGACUUUCUUGUACCUUUGCUGCACUCCUUUUUAAUUUUAUGGCCCAGCUCCUCUUCCGUUGCUUUUUAAAUGUCCAUUUUUACCACUUUUUACUCUUUUCACAACAAUUUUGCCCCCUUUUUCCCCCUUUUAAGCCCAUUUCUGACCCACUUGACCCUUUUUAUGGCCCUUUUAAUUUUAUUUAAUAACUAAAAACCACUUACAAACACAAAAAGGCCCCAAAAUACAUUUUCCCCAUUACAAUUCCACAGAAAAGUGCCCCAAAAUGGGAUUUUCUCCUUUGGAUUUCUCACAAAACGUCUCAAAAUGGCAUUUCUUACCAUUUUCUCCUCAGAAAAAUGACAGAAAAAGGUAUCAAAAAACCUAAAAUCCCACAAAAUGGCCCCAAAAUGGGAUUUCCCCAAUGCGUUCCUCACAGAAAGGCCCUCCCUCAGCACACUCCCAUAAAACCACACACAAACAGAACUCCCACCCCUCAAUAGCAGCCAGGCCCCCUCCCUCCACCUCCUCCACGCCCCCUAACCGCCCCCAGACCCCAAAUCCGACCCUUUUCACCCCAAAACCACGCGCGGAAGUGACGUCACCGCGCCGCACCGCUUCGUCAUGCCCUUCUCCAAGAUGGCGCCCAACACGGCGGCGCCCACUCUUCAAAUGGCGCCUUCUCGCUCUGCGCAUGCGUCGUUCCACUUCGCGCAUGCGUGCUGGGCGCGUUGCUAAGCAACCUCGCACCGCUCACCUCGCCGCUCAUGCGCGCUGCGCCCGUUGCUAAGCAACGCCGCCAUUUUGUAGGCGGUCUCGCCGCCAUUUUGUAGGAGGUGCCGCCGCCAUCUUGUCGGC